rfam:Felis catus isolate Cinnamon breed Abyssinian chromosome B3, whole genome shotgun sequence.
GCCUGGGUGGCUCAGUCGGUUAAGCGUCCGACUUCAGCUCAGGUCAUGAUCUCACAGUUUGUGAGUUCAAGCCUCACAUUGGGCU